rnacentral:rRNA from 1 species
GUUGGCUUGGAAGCAGCCAUUCAUUUAAAGAGUGCGUAACAGCUCACUAGUCGAGGAUUUUGGCAUGGAUAAUAAUCGGGCAUAAGCAGUGUACCGAAGCUGUGGGAUGUUAAUACAUCGGUAGGGGAGCAUUCUAACGGAGAAGAAGAUUCGAAGACGAUUCGGGUUGGAUUUGUUAGAAAAGCAAAUGUAGGUAUAAGUAACGAUAAAGGGGGUCAGAAACCCCCUCGCCGAAAGACCAAGGUUUCCUGAUCAACGCUAAACGGAUCAGGGUUAGUCGGGCCCUAAGCGGUAGCCGAACGGCGCACGCGAUGGCAGAAUGGGUUAAUAUUCCCAUACUAAUCAUAUGAGUGAUGUGGAGACGGAGAAGUGACAGUACGGCCAACUGACGGAAUAGUUGGUUAAAGGGUGUAGAUGUAGAUUGGGGUAGGCAAAUCCGCCCUGAGAGUCGAACCUGAUAGUACAGAGCGUGCAUGCACAAUCUGAUAAGUACGUAAACAGGCUCCCAAGAAAAUCCGCUAAACAUAUUGUAUGAUUACCCGUACCGUAAACCGACACAGGUGGUUGGGUUGAGUAUACUAAGGCGCUCGAGUGAUUCGCGGUUAAGGAACUAGGCAAAAUAGUCCUGUAACUUCGGAAUAAAGGACGCUCACAGUGAAGGCUGUGAGCCGCAGAGAAUAGGCCCAGGCGACUGUUUAACAAAAACACAUGGCUAUGCUAAAUCGAAAGAUACUGUAUAUAGCCUGACACCUGCCCGGUGCUGGAAGGUUAAGAGGAGAUGUCAUCGCAAGAGAAGCAUUGAAUUGAAGCCCCAGUAAACGGCGGCCGUAACUAUAACGGUCCUAAGGUAGCGAAAUUCCUUGUCGGGUAAGUUCCGACCUGCACGAAUGGUGUAACGAUCUGGGCACUGUCUCAACCGCGAGCUCGGUGAAAUUGUAGUAUCGGUGAAGAUGCCGAUUACCCGCAACGGGACGAAAAGACCCCGUGAACCUUUACUAUAGCUUUGCAUUGGAUUUGGGUAACAAAUGUGUAGGAUAGGCCGGAGACUAUGAAGCGGGUACGCCAGUAUUCGUGGAGUCGCCGUUGAAAUACGGCCCUUUUGUUAUUUGGGUUCUAACUCGCGGAUGCGAGGACAUUGCAUGGUGGGUAGUUUGACUGGGGUGGUCGCCUCCAAAAGUGUAACGGAGGCUUCUAAAGGUACCCUCAGACCGAUUGGUAACCGGUCGCAGAGUGUAAUGGCAUAAGGGUGCUUGACUGGGAGACAAACAAGUCGCACAGGUAGGAAACUAGAGCAUAGUGAUCCGGUGGUUCCGUAUGGAAGGGCCAUCGCUCAAAGGAUAAAAGGUACUCCGGGGAUAACAGGCUGAUCCCUCCCAAGAGCUCAUAUCGACGGAGUGGUUUGGCACCUCGAUGUCGGCUCGUCACAUCCUGGGGCUGGAGAAGGUCCCAAGGGUUGGGCUGUUCGCCCAUUAAAGUGGCACGCGAGCUGGGUUCAGAACGUCGUGAGACAGUUCGGUCUCUAUCUGUUGUGGGCGUUUGAGAUUUGAGGGGGCCUGACACUAGUACGAGAGGACCGUGUUGGACGAACCGCUGGUUUAUCGGUUAUGCCGCCAGGCGUAUUGCCGAGUAGCUACGUUCGGUUGAGAUAAGUGCUGAAAGCAUCUAAGUACGAAGCUUGCCUCAAGAUUAGAUCUCAUUAUAAGGGUGGUUAUAGACGAUGACCUUGAUAGGCUACAGGUGUAAAGGCGGUGACGUCAUAGCCGAGUAGUACUAAUUGCCCGAAAGUUUUUGCC